GACUCGUACAUAAUUAUUCUAUUUACUUAAAAUGCGUAAAGUCUAUGAUUUUCUCGACGCCCUCAGGAAGAUACGUAUAAAGCUCAGCAAUUCGAAUCAGGGAUGCCAAAGCGACUGGUUAGCUUGCCAUCAGCCCCCUUCUGGCGAACAAUGUUCAAAGGGCACGGAUCAGCAUUCCAUAGAAGCUAAGAAAAAUGAUAAGAGCUUUUCAGGCGAUGAAGUGAAUUUGGCCGAUACUAUGAAGAAUGCUCUGCAUGUAUCCGGCUUGCCCAAACAUCGCAGCUAUAUGGACAAAGAAUUACCUAUGGUUGAACGAAAGGUAGAAGGCGAAACUAUUUGUACUACUGUUCAAGAAGGAUGGGCGCAGAAAGAAGUUCCGCCCGCUGAGCAACCACAAUUGGCAUCUCUCUGGCAAAAUAUAAAGCGUGUGCUGCUAAUAUGUGGCGGUCAGCGUGAGCCACUGGAGUCAGCAGGGGAGUUAGCAAAAGCCGGCGUAAAGGCUGCCUUAGUCGAUGUUAUGGAGGCACAACGUUUUGUUCGGGACGUCUUCGCUGCGAUGGAAGUGCCCCCAGAGGCGGCCAGUGAGAUGGCCGAUGUAUUAAUAGCAGCCGAUUAUUUUGGUCAUCGGAGCAUGGGAAUACAUCGUCUGCCCGCAGUGGCUGCAGAUUUGCUUAAUUGCACUGUAGAUGCACGUGCCCAGCCACUGGUGCUUCAGGAACGAGAGGCCUUGGCUCUGGUCGAUGGACGCAAUGCGCCUGGACCAGUGGUGGCUAAUUACUGCAUGGAUCUGGCCGUGCGCAAGGCUCGAGUGGUCGGAUUUGCUUGGGUCUCGGCACGUCGUUCCAAUUGCAUCGGCAUGGCAGGUUGGUAUGCAUGUCAGGCGCUAACGCAACGCAUGAUUGGAAUCUGUAUGUCGAAUGCACCACCCGUUCUGGUGGCCUGUGGUGGCAAAGAACCGGUACUGGGGGAGAACCCCAUUGCCUGUGCAGCUGCUGGGGCCGACGAACAGUUUUUAAUGGAUAUGGGCAUGUCCUCCUUUCCCAUCGAGCAAUUUGAAUUGGAUUAUUGCAAUGGAAGGGUACGAAAUAUGCCAACGACCCUGGCACUUGACUGCAAUGGUCGACCCACUGGCCGUGUGGUGGAGGCUUUGCGAGCCCAGAGACUGCGUGCCUUCAAACCUGAGUACAAGGGCUUCGGAUUGGCCGGCAUGGUGGACAUUCUGUGCGGGGUGCUGACCGGCGCCCAAUAUGCCACCCAAUUGCGACGUCGGGGCCUCUUCAGCCCGGAAAAUGCGCCCGCAAAUCUGGGGCAGGUCUAUGUGGCCAUUGAUCCCCUACAAUUUUGUGCUUCCUUCGAGGAUCGCUUGAGGGACUUUCAUCAGCUACUGCGCCGGGACUUGCCCUGCGAUCAGCGACAAAUGCCGCUAGUGCCGGGCGAUAAGGAAAUAGCCAGCAUGCAGCAGGUGGACAAUCAGGGCGGCCUAGAAUUCUCAAACUGCACUUUGUGUGUACUUAAGGAGCUCGCUGAACGUUUUAAAAUUAAGCCCCUCCGUCUCAAAACAUCCGAAUGAGCUAAUUGCUGCUAUUAUGCUCGUCUUUUUUAUACCAAUGUGGAAAAUAACGAGUUCAUAAACUAUAGAAAGAAACCUUAACCUGAUUCCUCAGCACGAGUGCGCGUUCAUUUUCAAGCACAGCGCAAAUAAGGCGCGACACUCGACGAAAAUGCGCGGCUUAAUUACAUCAGAAAAAGAUUUGCUGCCAAUAAUAGGAGCAAGCUAAUUCCCCUGCUCCGAAGAUAUGUUUUGAAUAAUCGAUUAAGACAAUACACACAAACCGGAU